AUGAGGAUGGUGGUGGUUGUGAUGCGGAGAACAAAAAGGAUGCAACCAACAAGAUAAUGAUGAAGAUGGAUCUAUUCGGCAUUCGUAAAAGUUUGUAUUUGCAAACCCUUCUUGCUUGCCCCAUUCACUCAUCCAUCCAACCAUCUAAUUAUUCAUUCAUGACGUUUACGUUCAUUCAGUCAAUUUUGAGGAUUAAGAAUAUUCCUCUUCUUCUAUGAUGAAAUAUGGAAAAAAACAAAUAAUGAUGAUGAUGAUGAUGUUGAAUAAUUUUGUUUUGAU